rnacentral:rRNA from 1 species
CCUACGGGCGGCUGCAGUGGGGAAUAUUGGACAAUGGGGGGAACCCUGAUCCAGCCAUGCCGCGUGUGUGAAGAAGGCCCUCGGGUUGUAAAGCACUUUCAGUGAGGAAGAACGCCUGGUGGUUAAUACCCAUCAGGAAAGACAUCACUCACAGAAGAAGCACCGGCUAACUCCGUGCCAGCAGCCGCGGUAAUACGGAGGGUGCGAGCGUUAAUCGGAAUUACUGGGCGUAAAGCGCGCGUAGGUGGCUUGAUAAGCCGGUUGUGAAAGCCCCGGGCUCAACCUGGGAACGGCAUCCGGAACUGUCAAGCUGGAGUGCAGGAGAGGAAGGUAGAAUUCCCGGUGUAGCGGUGAAAUGCGUAGAGAUCGGGAGGAAUACCAGUGGCGAAGGCGGCCUUCUGGACUGACACUGACACUGAGGUGCGAAAGCGUGGGUAGCAAACAGGAUUAGAUACCCGUGUAGUC